CAUAAAUAGUUCUCGAUGAGAUAGGAUUGCGGCGCGUGCUUUUGUCAGGAUACGAAAUUAAGAUAGGCAAAGAUCACUUUUAGGAUCACACUCACCGGCGUAUUUAUACAAUUAUAAUAGUUAUUUUUUAAUACGGAUAAAAGUUGAAAGAAAAACGUAAUAUCAUGAUCGCUCGUCGUUCAAUUAAAGAAAAGAAAGAAAGAGAGAGAAACAAAUAAAGAAAAAAAAAAAAAACGUAAUGAAAAAGAAAAGAAUAUUUUAACACGAGCUUGGUUGCCGAAGAAAGACAAAGAAUGAAAACGAGAGGGAGCGUGUCUGCGUGUGGAAGUGUGGAAUUGUACAUAAUACACAGACGAUACGUCGAGUGAAAUUACGUUUGCCUGCAUCAAUCGGUUAAUGUGCAAGUAUAGCUUUGAUGAUUUUUACGUAUUUGUAUUUUAGUUUGCAUGUUUGGAACGCAAAGUAGAGAUAUAUGUAUGUAUUAUAUAUACAUAUAUACAUAUAUUUGAAGGGUGAACAAGCAUCAUCGAAUAAAAUCAACAAAUUACUUUAAUCUUCUUUCAUUUACGAAGAAAUAAGAGAAUAUUAAUAACGAUUCAUCGUAUUACAAGAAAAAGAAAAAAAAAAAAAAGAACGAAGACGCUUGAACCCCUACUUGAUAUGUUGCUAUGAUAUUUAUUAUGCAUGCUUUUAAUAUAUUAUAAAGUAUUAGAAAUUUCCUCUGAAUUCAUUCUCUCCAAGAAAAAAAAAAUUAAAAAAAAAAAAAAAACGAAAAAAGAGAAAAAGAAUACAUAAAAGCAAAAAUAAUAAAAAAAAGAGAAUAAAAUAAAAAAUAGUGAAGACACAUUUUGGACUAUUGUACAAUAAUUUAAUUAAUUGCUUCGAUGAUCAAUACAAAGAGAUUCUAGAUCAUCAAACAUAUACUCGCUUCUUUUAUAAAUGGAGAGAUCGAACGAGGACAUUUUUACAAUUUUGAAUGAACUUUUUGUCCAUGUAAUUAAAUAAUUUUGUAGUUUCUCUAAACUAUUUCCAAGAGAUCUUCCUAUUCCUUUCGGUUUUUCGCCAUUGAAAUGAUAAUUUUAUUCAAAAUGUAUAAAGUACUUAAAGAUCCGUAAAUCGUUCUUUCCUUCAUUGCAUUGUUUUUUUUUUUUUGUCAAUUGGCUAGAUAGAAAGAAAGAGAAAAACAGAGGAAGAGAAAGAAUGAGAGAGAAAAGGAACAAAUUUGUCGGGACAUCGAGAUUAGGAUUAUAGGAAUUUCUCUCGCAGUUUUAUUUGCAUGUGCAUGUGUUUGGCAGACACUAUACCAUGUAUACUGUUAAUAGUGAGCUUAAAUGAUAUAGUGUUUUAUGAAACUAGUCGAAAGUUUGAGGGUGUUAAUGCCUCCAUUAUUGAGAAACGAGUAAUGGUAGGGGAGAUGGAAUUUUUCGAUCUCAAUGACGAGCAUAAAUGUUAAUCGAUCUUCACAAAUAUGAACCGACGUGAUUCUUCGAUCUAAAUAUUAUUUACUAUCUAACUUAUAAAAGAAAGUUGUAGACGACGCGAAGACUCGUUUAGAGAUAAAAAAAAAUCAUCUUUCAUACCGGCUACUCGAUUUUUACUUUGGAGGCACGACUGUUCCACCGAAGCAUUUCGAUAAAUUAUCGUCAUUAACAGAAACAGAUGGACUACAAUAUUCUUAUCGAUGGCAGUGUUCGAAAUAUUGCUCAUCUUUUUUUUUUUUUUUACGUUAUGUUUACUGAAACAAAAAGGAAAAAAAAAGAAAAGAAAAGAAAAGAAAGCAAGAAAUUAAUACGAAAACCUUAAUCAUUUGGCUCUGACGCGAACUGGGUCGAAUAUGCUCAUUGGGACAAAUUGAGGGAGAGAGAAAGAGAAAGAGAGUGGAAGAGAGAGAUGGGAAGAGGGAAAGAAAGAAAGAGAAAGAGAGAGGGAGAGAAAAAAGAGAGAGAACAGGACAUUUUUCAAGUUACCCAGUAAAACUCGUAUUAGCAUUAAUAUUAUAAUCAAUUGUUAUUGGAUUCGAUGAUUGUUUGCACCGUGGCACUGACACAUAAAACUUAUUAUUCUUUGAAGGCCGCUCCGAUACGACCGAUGGUGCAACGAGCGCGUCGACGAAACUUCUUUUUGUUUCUCGCUUUUUAAAACGUCGCGAAAAAUCUAUUUACGCGUGAAUAGCGGAGAAAGAAAAAAUGAUCGAAAAUUUGUGCAUAGGAAAAUCGUGGAAACGUGGAAGGGUCUCAAAAAAUAUGACACUUGUUUCAAUUGUAACACUCGUUUCCAUGCUCGAUGAUGGAGCGGCAUUCAAUUACCAUGGAAAAUUUGGUGUGGGCUGACGUCUAUGUUAGAGUACAACAUGUCCAUCCACUGCUGCUGAGCUUGAGCUAGUUAUCAUACGCAAGUUGUACCGUCCAAUUAAAAAAUUGAUUCUUGGCUCGUUUCUAUUUUCGUGAAAGGAUAAAGAGGAAUAAAGAAACGAAAGAACAGAGGAGAAAAGGAAACAUAU